AAUAGAUACCCUGGUAGUCCACGCCGUAAACGGUGGGCGCUAGGUGUGGGUUUCCUUCCACGGGAUCCGUGCCGUAGCUAACGCAUUAAGCGCCCCGCCUGGGGAGUACGGCCGCAAGGCUAAAACUCAAAGGAAUUGACGGGGGGCCCGCACAAGCGGCGGAGCAUGUGGAUUAAUUCGAUGCAACGCGAAGAACCUUACCUGGGUUUGACAUAUACCGGAUCGCCUCAGAGAUGGGGUUUCCCUUGUGGUCGGUAUACAGGUGGUGCAUGGCUGUCGUCAGCUCGUGUCGUGAGAUGUUGGGUUAAGUCCCGCAACGAGCGCAACCCUUGUCCUGUGUUGCCAGCAAUUCGGUUGGGGACUCGCAGGAGACUGGCCGGGGUCAACUCGGAGGAAGGUGGGGACGACGUCAAGUCAUCAUGCCCCUUAUCGUCCAGGGCUUCACACAUGCUACAAUGGCCGGUACGAGAGGGCUGCGAUACCGUGAGGUGGAGCGAAUCCCUUAAAGCCGGUCUCAGUUCGGAGUCGGGGUCUGCACUCGA
rnacentral:rRNA from 1 species